UUUUCUUGAAGCAUAUGUGAGAGGAA
rnacentral:piRNA from 1 species